CAAAUUGAGAGUUUGAUCCUGGCUCAGGAUGAACGCUGGCGGCGUGCCUAAUACAUGCAAGUCGAACGCUUUGUGGUUCAACUGAUUUGAAGAGCUUGCUCAGAUAUGACGAUGGACAUUGCAAAGAGUGGCGAACGGGUGAGUAACACGUGGGAAACCUACCUCUUAGCAGGGGAUAACAUUUGGAAACAGAUGCUAAUACCGUAUAACAAUGACAACCGCAUGGUUGUUAUUUAAAAGAUGGUUCUGCUAUCACUAAGAGAUGGUCCCGCGGUGCAUUAGCUAGUUGGUAAGGUAAUGGCUUACCAAGGCGAUGAUGCAUAGCCGAGUUGAGAGACUGAUCGGCCACAAUGGGACUGAGACACGGCCCAUACUCCUACGGGAGGCAGCAGUAGGGAAUCUUCCACAAUGGGCGAAAGCCUGAUGGAGCAACGCCGCGUGUGUGAUGAAGGGUUUCGGCUCGUAAAACACUGUUGUAAGAGAAGAAUGACAUUGAGAGUAACUGUUCAAUGUGUGACGGUAUCUUACCAGAAAGGAACGGCUAAAUACGUGCCAGCAGCCGCGGUAAUACGUAUGUUCCAAGCGUUAUCCGGAUUUAUUGGGCGUAAAGCGAGCGCAGACGGUUAUUUAAGUCUGAAGUGAAAGCCCUCAGCUCAACUGAGGAAUUGCUUUGGAAACUGGAUGACUUGAGUGCAGUAGAGGAAAGUGGAACUCCAUGUGUAGCGGUGAAAUGCGUAGAUAUAUGGAAGAACACCAGUGGCGAAGGCGGCUUUCUGGACUGUAACUGACGUUGAGGCUCGAAAGUGUGGGUAGCAAACAGGAUUAGAUACCCUGGUAGUCCACACCGUAAACGAUGAGUGCUAGGUGUUUGAGGGUUUCCGCCCUUAAGUGCCGCAGCUAACGCAUUAAGCACUCCGCCUGGGGAGUACGACCGCAAGGUUGAAACUCAAAGGAAUUGACGGGGACCCGCACAAGCGGUGGAGCAUGUGGUUUAAUUCGAAGCAACGCGAAGAACCUUACCAGGUCUUGACAUCCCUUGACAACUCCAGAGAUGGAGUGUUCCCUUCGGGGACAAGGUGACAGGUGGUGCAUGGUUGUCGUCAGCUCGUGUCGUGAGAUGUUGGGUUAAGUCCCGCAACGAGCGCAACCCUUAUUACUAGUUGCCAGCAUUCAGUUGGGCACUCUAGUGAGACUGCCGGUGACAAACCGGAGGAAGGUGGGGAUGACGUCAAAUCAUCAUGCCCCUUAUGACCUGGGCUACACACGUGCUACAAUGGCGUAUACAACGAGUUGCCAACCCGCGAGGGUGAGCUAAUCUCUUAAAGUACGUCUCAGUUCGGAUUGUAGGCUGCAACUCGCCUACAUGAAGUCGGAAUCGCUAGUAAUCGCGGAUCAGCACGCCGCGGUGAAUACGUUCCCGGGUCUUGUACACACCGCCCGUCACACCAUGAGAGUUUGUAACACCCAAAGCCGGUGGGGUAACCUUCGGGAGCCAGCCGUCUAAGGUGGGACAGAUGAUUAGGGUGAAGUCGUAACAAGGUAGCCGUAGGAGAACCUGCGGCUGGAUCACCUCCUUU
rnacentral:rRNA from 1 species